rnacentral:siRNA from 1 species
CUUAUCUCUAUCUUCAUCCAA